AUGUCAUUUGAUGCACUGUUAAGUGUUCGAAAGCAACUUGAAGAAUUUGAAUUUCCUUGCAAAGCUAUAAAUGAUGGUCUUUGGCUUCAGAUGCUCCUGUGCCACAGAGUGCAAGCAAUAGUUCCUGAUACUUGCAGAAACUGUUACCUUACAAGUAAUUCUUGUGACUACAGGCAGGAGCAUGAUAGGACAAGUGCUUCAGGAACUGAAGGUAGUAUCUGCCUUGCAGAUGCCCAAGGCGAUGGGAAUGACAGUGCUGCGCCGGGCUCUCCACAAAUCCGGACUGGAUUAUACAGACGUUGGGGACGACCUCCACCGGGCGCGGCUGCUCCCUCUCCUCGGCGGCUUGGGCGGACUACAUGCCGACGUCAGCGAGGGGACGUGGUUGCGCGGGCCCGUGGAGAUAUCUCCCCCGCGCCUGGAGCUCGUCCGGCGACGCCGCUGAAUAUGCCACCACCACGACCAUCCAGAUCCUCCUGCGCUGGACGCCGAUCUGGUCGAGGACUCAUCUAUGAGGAGAGGAGCGAGGAGGAGAAGGCGCAGGAGAAGCGGCUGAGCCGGCGGCGCAGCGACCCGGGAGAGGAGGAGGCGAGCGGAGAGGGGAUCGACAGAUUGGGGACGAAGCGUGCAGGGCUAGAUUUUCUUUUCCUUUUCUCCCAGCGCUGCACACUAAAUUGGAUGGAUUUACCCUUUUAG
rnacentral:rRNA from 1 species